rnacentral:rRNA from 1 species
UAAUACAGAGGGUGCGAGCGUUGUUCGGAAUUAUUGGGCGUAAAGCGCGUGUAGGCGGGAUUGUGUGUCGGGUGUGAAAGCCCUCAGCUCAACUGAGGAAGUGCGCCCGAAACUGCAGUUCUUGAGUGUCGGAGAGGGUGGCGGAAUUCCCGGUGUAGAGGUGAAAUUCGUAGAUAUCGGGAGGAACACCAGAGGCGAAGGCGGCCACCUGGACGAACACUGACGCUGAGACGCGAAAGCGUGGGGAGCAAACAGGAUUAGAUACCCUGGUAGUCCACGCCGUAAACGAUGAGUGCUAGCUGUUGCGGGUGUUGACCCCUGCAGUGGCGAAGCCAACGCAUUAAGCACUCCGCCUGGGAAGUACGGCCGCAAGGCUAAAACUUAAAUGAAUUGACGG